GUUGCCACCUAAGAUACGAUGGAGCAAGCACAGUCUUAAAGAAGAUUUGCUGAUUUUUUGUUUUUCUCAGCAGACCAGAGUAGGACAUCCAUAAAAAUUCAUCAGAGAGCAUUUUACUACUGAGCUGCAAAGGGAAAAACUUAAAAUGGAUAUGAAAAGUGAAGAAAGUGAUCAUAGGAGAAAACCAUUUCAGGUAAAAAUAAAAAACAAAGAGCAAAUAAGAUUUACUGUUUUUAAAGAAAAACAACAUUCUUUUGACUGUGUUU
rnacentral:lncRNA from 1 species